GAACUGAGAAGGAGACGAGCCAUCGAGGUCUCUUUACCCCUCUCUGGUGGCUCCUUAACUUGUCCUUGCUGUCGCCAGCCCGGGGACCGGCGUCCUUUGGCCUGGGUGGGGGAGCCCCCGGCUGGGACCCCCAAACCGCGGCUCGCCCGGCCCCGAGGCCGCGGAGUUGGGAGUCUCUGGGCGAGCCGUACACGGAGGCGGGCGAUUUCAGGGUGCCCAGAGGUGGGGUUUUCCCUCAUAUUUGUUUGCUUUUUCUUUCCUAGAAGUUAGAUAAAUUCUCGUCCUCGAGGCUAGCCGGUGCCUGUGCUCUCAGUGGGCUCCUGUCGGAGCUUCCUCCGGAAUGAUUCCAGAGGUGAUGACUGCAGGGAAGAAGUUACCAGUUUCUCACGUAUGAUGGCUGACAGGUCAUAACUAAAAAGGCUCUAAAUGAAAUAGAUGCUUAUCUUGAGAAUCCGGGAGAAGCUGGAGCUGAACCAACAUGCGGUGUGGAUUCGGGAUACACCUUUCUGCCUGCUCCAGUGAGGCAUCCAAACAGCCACAUUAAAGGGAGCUCAGUCUGAUUUCCUAAUAGGGCUACUCGUAUGGAUUUUAAUUUUUAAACAGAAGUACUCUUCUGCUGCCUGUCAAAGAGGGAGCUUGGGAGCAGAGGUACGAGAGGGCUUAUUUUCAGAAAUGGAAACAGAUCUGUUUAUGGUUUUUGUCACAAAUGAUGCUCUCCCAGCACGGGGUUAAACUCUGCCCUCGGUUAUUGAAUGCAAAUCCGUCGAUUUAAAUGGAGUUCAUUGCAAGUGGGAACAGGAUUUAGCGGUCAUUUUCUGCUGCUGCCUAAUCACUGUAGUCUGAAGAAAAGCAACAUAUGUAUAAUGGUAGCUGAGACGCAGGAGGGGUGGAAGCUUUCUACCAACAAGAACCACAUUAAAUAAUUAAUUCCCAAUUGCCUUUCUACAUUAGUGCUUUCAGCUAAAAAAGCUGGUCAGCUUUGUAAGGCCCCAGGCAAUGAAACAUUUGGUGCAUUGUCAGUCCAAAAGUGGAGGUAAUAGAUAUCCAGCGUGGCUGGGAAAGUGCUACUCUCCAUCCUGCCAUUUACAUAUUCCAGCUGCGCAGCCUCAUUCCUCAUCCCCUCUUUUGCCUUACUUAAGUUUGACAGGACAGCAUCUCCUCUGAGGUGGCUGCUGAGGAAGCCAAAAAUGUAUUUAUUUUAUCAAAAAACAGAGGAGCUUAUUGUUUGAGCCUAAAAAUGGAGUAUACAAAGUUGGUCCCUCUUUUAUCAGCAGACAAAUCUGAUGGGUUAAUAAAGAAAGGACUGAAUUUCCCCCUCCUUUCCCAUUUGCCCCUCCUUAACCCAUCUGCUGGUCCCCCAAGCUCAGCCUGUCACCUCAGGUCACGAUGGGAUCUUCUGGGCUCGUACGUCAUUCACAAGAAAGAUCUUGCCAUGAGAAAUGAGUUAACAAGCCUUUUGAUGUGCAAGUCAUCAGAGGCUGCUCCGCUCACCUUCUGAGAUAAAUAUAUGUGUAUGUGUGGAGAAAGCUGAAGAAGAAAAGGAAGCAUUGGAAUAAAUUGCCCCGGGAGGUGGGAGAUUCUCUGUUAAAAACAGGUCUAGACAAACAUCUGUCAGAAAAUACCGACGUCUAUUUGAUCUUGUCUUGGAUCUGGGGAAAAGACUGAAUGGUGUUGUCAAGUCCUUUUCAGCCCUGAGAGAACACAGUUGUACACAUAUAUAUGCUCACGUGUGUGUGUGUAGGUGUAUACAUAUAUAUAUAUACACUUUUACAUGUGUGUGUGUAUAAAUGUAUAUAUUUCCACACUUUUUGUGACCGGCUCUUGGCCUCCAUGAUACUUUGUGGCAGUGAAUCUUGCAAGCUAAUUACACACAAGUUUGUGUCUCUCAGCCUCAUUAAAUUUGAGUUUCAGUUCUGUUUAA